rnacentral:rRNA from 1 species
AUUGAACGCUGGCGGCAGGCUUAACACAUGCAAGUCGGACGGUAACAGGAGGAAAGCUUGCUUUCUUUGCUGACGAGUGGCGGACGGGUGAGUAAUGCUUGGGAAUCUGUUUUAUGGAGGGGGAUAACUACGGGAAACUGUAGCUAAUACUGCGUAAUAUCGAGAGAUUAAAGUGUGGGACCGUAAGGCCACAUGCCAUAGAGUGAGCCCAAGUGGGAUUAGGUAGUUGGUGGGGUAAAGGCCUACCAAGCCGUCGAUCUCUAGCUGGUCUGAGAGGAUGACCAGCCACACUGGGACUGAGACACGGCCCAGACUCCUACGGGAGGCAGCAGUGGGGAAUAUUGCACAACGGGCGCAAGCCUGAUGCAGCCAUGCCGCGUGAAUGAAGAAGGCCUUCGGGUUGUAAAGUUCUUUCGGUGGUGAGGAAGGUUGGCGUGUUAAUAGCACGUUAAUUUGACGUUAGCCACAGAAGAAGCACCGGCUAACUCCGUGCCAGCAGCCGCGGUAAUACGGAGGGUGCGAGCGUUAAUCGGAAUAACUGGGCGUAAAGGGCACGCAGGCGGAUACUUAAGUGAGGUGUGAAAGCCCUGGGCUUAACCUAGGAAUUGCAUUUCAUACUGGGUAUCUAGAGUAUUUUAGGGAGGGGUAGAAUUCCACGUGUAGCGGUGAAAUGCGUAGAGAUGUGGAGGAAUACCGAAGGCGAAGGCAGCCCCUUGGGGGAAUACUGACGCUCAUGUGCGAAAGCGUGGGGAGCAAACAGG